GUGACGUCACAAACUACGUGGUAUGUCCACACUAAAUUAGAGAGUGUCGCUUUAAAAACCGAUAGCCCUGGACUUCUGCAUGUUUUGGUAGUGAUCGACAGCAGCACUCAAAUAUCGGAAGGUUUAAGCUGUACAAACCCUGACUAAGCAACCAAGGGACAUCUGAAUGUUUAUUGAACUUAAUGCCAGGGAUACACACACUAAAACUUGAAUAACUUGACGUAAUUACCAUACCUUCAUCUUGUUAGUAUUUACUUUUUCAUGAUGAAUGGUGUGGUAACAUUCUUAAUUAUACGUCUCUUCCGUCUAAUGAUGUUUGUCUACUUUUAUAAUAACUUCUAAAUUUAAAGAAAAACUCCUACAUAAUUUUGUUUUCGUAUUCUUCACUUAUUUUAUCCCAUCACAAAAGUUGGAGACUGACCCGUGCUGCAAAGUAAUAGUUGGUGUUUAUUUUAGGUUUUCUAAACGAUAAGUCAGCGCAGCCCGGCGGCCACUAUUCGUUUAGAAGAAUAAAAAUAAAUGCUAACUUUCUUAGUGCUCAGUGCGAAAUGCAGCGCGAAUGCCUUUAUAUUGCUUAGUGCGCAUGCGUGAGAUUCAAAUAAGUCCAAAUUAAUAAAACCAAUUAAGAACUAAUGGAAACUGGCUGUUGUUUUCUUUACUUCAUGGACAUUUGGCGGUUUUGUUAUCUGUUUAAUGGAUGUUUGAUUGUCAGAGCUCUUCAAAAUUAUUAUAUGUGAUAGAUCUGUCCGGUUAUAUCUCAAUGACAGAGGAAUGUGCCUGAAUCAUUUAUAAUAAUGAUGACCAAAAAAACUGCUUUUAGAUGGUCCAUUACCGGGUUAAUGCCCCCUGCCAAUAGCAGACCACUGCUUUCAGUAUUUAAUUUAUUUCACGGCUUUGCCACUGCAUUGUGGCGAUGUGUAUUUGCAUGCAUAAAACACAAGUCGUGCAUGUGUCAGGCACGCACGAUAGUAAUGCUCAUCUUGUAAUGUCAGAAACCGGAUCCAUCAUAAAAACAUAUAAUGAUUAUAGGUGAUUGAAAAUAAUUAUUAAUCCUUCAAAUAGCUUCGUCUCCCGAGUCGCCCUAAUACGAUUUGUCAAUUAGGUAUUUAUGAAUGUUCUCUAUAUUUAAAGUUUUAACACUGAUAAGGUUCUUCAAUAUUUGAAGAAGUGCUUAAGAUGAAAUUAAGAGUAAUUGUCAACACAUGUUUCUAUAUACCGACGUAAAUGUGUUGACUACCACAAAAGAUACAUUGUUCAUUUUUUUCCAAAUAAUGGCUCUCUUAUGCACAUUAAAAUUUUGUAAAUCUUAAUUGACUUUUUACAUUAGCAGUUUUCCUUAAGUGUGGAAUUUAAGUUUUCAUAAGGUUGGGUUCUCUAUUACUUUGCAGUAACAUCUUCCGGAUAUAGAUAUGUUGAUGCUGCAGUAACAACGGUCAUAUAGAUGUAGCACUCAAUAAAUCGUUCGUUUGGUUGAUGGCUGAAUGAUUGUGUUCGAUCCGUGACUGGAGUGCGUGAACACCGCAGACUACAGCUAGAUACGGAAGACGUUUGACGUGUUUGACGUUGAGUGUGAGGGGAAAAUACCCGUCGUGGAGCUGGAGAACGCCCUCAGAGUGGCGCGACUUAAUCCUACUCCAACAGACCUGGACACGUUGAAACAGAGGCUUGGCAAUCCGGAUGAGAUCACGUACGAACAGUUCUCGGAGGUUGUCGAGGAGCUGGGUAGGAAGGACCAGGCGGCGGAGCUCAGAGAUGCGUUCCGCUGCUUCGACCCGGCCGGCCGCGGCUACAUCAGCAAGGAGCAACUGCGUGAGAUAGUAGCGCCGCUUCUUGGAGAGGAAUUACCGGAAGUGGAGUUUCAAGCCAUCAUCGACGGCGCCGACCUGGACGGGGAUGGAAAGAUUGACAUAGAGGAGUUUGUUGCAUUUAUGAUGGGCGAUUAACAGGCCGGCCAAAGACCGUAUCACGUCGCACCCAACAGACCGGCCAAAGACCGUAUGACAUCGCACUCAACAGGCCGACCAAAGACCGUAUGACGUCGCACGCAACAGGCCGGCCAAAGACCGUAUGACGUCGCACUCAACUGUUCUCACCAUUUUUAUAUCAUUAUGACUUCAUUAUUUUUCAUUUUUAUGGAAUAAAUAUCAAUGAUUUCGGUUU